rnacentral:rRNA from 1 species
UGCGGAAUAUUGGUCAAUGGGUGCAAGCCUGAACCAGCCAUCCCGCGUGAAGGACGACUGCCCUAUGGGUUGUAAACUUCUUUUGUAUAGGGAUAAACCUACCCUCGUGAGGGUAGCUGAAGGUACUAUACGAAUAAGCACCGGCUAACUCCGUGCCAGCAGCCGCGGUAAUACGGAGGGUGCAAGCGUUAUCCGGAUUUAUUGGGUUUAAAGGGUCCGUAGGCGGACUUAUAAGUCAGUGGUGAAAGCCUGUCGCUUAACGAUAGAACUGCCAUUGAUACUGUAAGUCUUGAGUAUAUUUGAGGUAGCUGGAAUAAGUAGUGUAGCGGUGAAAUGCAUAGAUAUUACUUAGAACACCAAUUGCGAAGGCAGGUUACCAAGAUAUAACUGACGCUGAGGGACGAAAGCGUGGGGAGCGAACA